AGAGUGAACGCUGGCGGUAGGCCUAACACAUGCAAGUCGAACGGCAGCACAGUGGUAGCAAUACCAUGGGUGGCGAGUGGCGGACGGGUGAGGAAUACAUCGGAAUCUACCUUUUCGUGGGGGAUAACGUAGGGAAACUUACGCUAAUACCGCAUACGCCCUUCGGGGGAAAGCCGGGGAUCGCAAGACCUGGCGCGGAUAGAUGAGCCGAUGUCGGAUUAGCUAGUUGGUGAGGUAAUGGCUCACCAAGGCGACGAUCCGUAGCUGGUCUGAGAGGAUGAUCAGCCACACUGGAACUGAGACCACGGUCCAGACCUCCGUACGGGGAG
rnacentral:rRNA from 1 species